UCCUACGGGGGGCAGCAGUGGGGGAUAUUGCACAAUGGGGGGAACCCUGAUGCAGCGACGCCGCGUGGGUGAAGAAGCGCCUCGGCGCGUAAAGCCCUGUCAGCAGGGAAGAAAAUGACGGUACCUGAAGAAGAAGCCCCGGCUAACUACGUGCCAGCAGCCGCGGUAAUACGUAGGGGGCAAGCGUUAUCCGGAUUUACUGGGUGUAAAGGGAGCGUAGACGGCGAUGCAAGUCUGAAGUGAAAGGCGGGGGCCCAACCCCCGGACUGCUUUGGAAACUGUAUAGCUGGAGUGCAGGAGAGGUA
rnacentral:rRNA from 1 species